rnacentral:rRNA from 1 species
UACGUAGGGGCUAGCGUUGUCCGGAAUCAUUGGGCGUAAAGAGCGUGUAGGCGGCCCGGUAAGUCCGCUGUAAAAGUCAAAGGCUCAACCUUUGAAUGUCAGUGGAUACUGCCGGGCUAGAGUCCGGAAGAGGCGAGUGGAACUCCUGGUGUAGCGGUGAAAUGCGCAGAUAUCAGGAAGAACACCCGUGGCGAAGGCGGCUCUCUGGACAGUUCCUGACACUGAGACACGAAGGCCAGGGGAGCAAACGGG